rnacentral:rRNA from 1 species
AUUGAACGCUGGCGGCAUGCCUUACACAUGCAAGUCGAACGGUAACGCGGGGCAACCUGGCGACGAGUGGCGAACGGGUGAGUAAUAUAUCGGAACGUGCCCAGUAGUGGGGGAUAGCCCGGCGAAAGCCGGAUUAAUACCGCAUGAGACCUGAGGGUGAAAGCGGGGGAUCGCAAGACCUCGCGCUAUUGGAGCGGCCGAUAUCAGAUUAGCUAGUUGGUGGGGUAAAGGCCCACCAAGGCAACGAUCUGUAGUUGGUCUGAGAGGACGACCAGCCACACUGGGACUGAGACACGGCCCAGACUCCUACGGAGGCAGCAGUGGGGAAUUUUGGACAAUGGGCGCAAGCCUGAUCCAGCAAUGCCGCGUGCAGGAAGAAGGCC